UUGUAAUUCACAGAGCUGGGUAGAUUACUUAUGAAUUGUAAUCAGUUACUGAUUACAGAUUACAUGACAAAAUUUGUAGUCAGUAAUAUAAUCUCUUAGAUUACACAUUUUUGGUAACGUAAUCUGAUUACUUUUGGAUUACAUUUAGAUUACAUUUGUGCUAACCCUUUUUAUUUGAUAUCACAUAAAUUUAAUUAGCCUAAUCUUGUACUAUUUUGACAGAUACAAAGAAAAAAUAUAGUCCAAAAAAUAUAUUUAAUUCACCAACCACAAUAGCUUCUUUUUCAAGUGCAAUGUAUGGACAGUUAAUACUUACAAAAUACAAACACUAAUAUACCUUGCUGUUAGUGUUUGCUAGUAACACUGAAUAAUCUUAUGAUUUUAAAGCAUAUUUACAUAUAAUUAAGUAAAUUUAGAAAACAGCUACAUUACAAAAACCAAUAUUUAAAAAAACAUGAAAUUUAUAUAUAUAUAUAUAUAUAUAUAUAUAUAUAUAUAUAUAUAUAUAUAUAUAUAUAUAUAUAUAUAUAUAUAUAUACUACUACUAUAUAUAUAGUAUACUAUAUAUAUAUAUAUAUAUAUAUAUAUAUAUAUAUAUAUAUAUAUAUAUAUAUAUAUAUAUUAUUAAAAAAAAGAAUAAAAUCAUGUGGUUUUACAACAAUUUGAGCAUGAGUAAAUGUAAAUUUUUUUUUUAGUUGGUCUAACGUAUUCCUUUAACAUGAUAAAACGGCAGUAUUUCUUAGCCUCUUCAUUAUUUCCUAAUCAUUUCUUAGCCUGUAAAGCAUUUCUGUGUAAAAGAUUAUGUGACCUAGCCUUAUCUCCCCCAGGUUUGCAUGGAGUUCACCAGAAUUACAGACAAAAAUCUACAGCAGGAAUUCUAUGAAAACCUGGACAGACACAGUUCACGGUUCAUGGACCUUUUUAAAACCAAAAGGGGGACUCCUGGUCAGCACUUGAAGUUUUUACAGAAAAUAGAGUCAGACCAGCCAACUGAGGUCUGAACCCUUGUUCUUCAAGGACUGACUAUCAUGCUGGGAAAUGAAGACUCUUCUUUCUUCAAGUCAUGUUUAGUAAGUACAUCUGUUUUAAAAAGGGAUAGUUCACCCAAAAAUGAUUACCCCAUGGUUUACUGACCCUCAAGCCAUCCAAUCAGAGUUAUAAUAAAAUUUAUCCUAGCUCUUCCAAGCUUUAUAAUGGGAGUGAAUGGGGGAUGACAUUUUGAAGCUGCUUUCGAGCAGUUCUCAAGCAUGUUCGUUCAGCGGCCUCAUUUCUAUUCGACAGCUUUCAGCCUCAACUACGUUAAUAAAUCAUUAGCUCAUCCAUGAACAUGAUUGCAUAUUGUACCUCUAAGUUUUUCUUACCAAAACCUACUGAGUCAAUUCAGAAGGCCUUUAACAAACUCAUGUUAAAAGGCCUAAGUGUGAGUACACUUAUAUUUUUUGGUGAAGUAUUCCUUUAAUUUACAUAUGUAGCCAACUUUUUUUGUUACAAGUCUUCAAAAUAAUAAACAUAAUUUAUAAUGCAUAUUUUAAAGUGUAUAACAAAUUCUUUGCGGGAAGCAUCUACAUUUACAUAAAUUCAAAUGUAUACAUGUCAAUAUAAUGUUGGAUUAGAGUUAGUGAUCACAAUACUAUAUUUAUAUUAAUAUGUAUGUUUUUUUCACUAGGUGUCUGAUCAUUGCAACACUAUCCUUGAUGUGCCAGUGGGGAUUUUAUUCGAGCACACUGAUCUUCAGCCCCCAAACUCCUUGCAUUUGAAUAAUUUCUGAAGGCCAAGUGGUGAUGGACAAAAUGCAGGACCUCCCACAGGCAAUCUUCUGUUCGGUUUGAUUUAUGCACUAGACCUGAAUUACCCAAAAUCACUCGCCAACACAUUUGAUUUCAUCCAGCGUGUACUAAUGUGAAUGGGAUAGAAUGCUCUCAAGCCUAGAGUUCAGUCUCUAGCAAACCAGUUUUUUUGCUUAAGAAACGUCACUGUGAUACUUUAACACCACCCUUUGUAUUGGCUUUUUUCCACCAUUGAUUUACUCCAUUAUCCAUUUAUGAAAAAUAAAAAGUAUGUUUAAAUAGUUAAAUGCACAGAGAAUUUGGGAUAUUGUUACCAUUGUUACACCUCUGUAGUGUGGUUGUGACCCGGUAAUUAUCUACAUUACAGUAUAGUCUCAGUAUGUAUUAUUUUAGUUUGCCGUGUUUGCACAAAGCUUAAAUGGUGAACUUUAGUAAGACUGUAUGUUAAGCCUACAUGUUCAGUACAUUAACAAUUGUGAGACUUAAAAAGUGUAAUUAAGUGCACAGAGUUGUACAAGUGAUGUAAGUGCACUAGUAAAUGUUGAACAUUUUUACUGUUACCACCUUUACAGUGUGGUUCUGUACCAGUAAUAUUUCCACUACAGUUUGUACUGUAAUACUGUGAAACUUUGGUGAAAGACACCAAAGUAUGUUUUAUUUUAGUUUGCUAUGUUUGCACAAAGCUUAAACGGUCAAAUCUAAUUAGGUUUACACUAACAUAAUUGUGAUACUGGAAUAAGGUAUAUAUGUGCAUAGAGUUGUAUUAUUGAUUUACUACACUAGUUAAUUUUGUUACCACAUUUACAGUGUGGCUGUGACCCAUUUCCAUUACAGUAUAGGGUUUACUGUAUUUUCAUAAGCUUAAAUGGUGAACUUUAGUAAGACUGUAUGUUAAGCCUACAUGUUCAGUACAUUAACAAUUGUGAGACUUAAAAAGUGUAAUUAAGUGCACAGAGUUGUACAAGUGAUGUAAGUGCACUAGUAAAUGUUGAACAUUUUUACUGUUACCACCUUUACAGUGUGGUUCUGUACCAGUAAUAUUUCCACUACAGUUUGUACUGUAAUACUGUGAAACUUUGGUGAAAGACACCAAAGUAUGUUUUAUUUUAGUUUGCUAUGUUUGCACAAAGCUUAAACGGUCAAAUCUAAUUAGGUUUACACUAACAUAAUUGUGAUACUGGAAUAAGGUAUAUAUGUGCAUAGAGUUGUAUUAUUGAUUUACUACACUAGUUAAUUUUGUUACCACAUUUACAGUGUGGCUGUGACCCAUUUCCAUUACAGUAUAGGGUUUACUGUAUUUUCAUUAAUAUUGUGACAUUUUGUCAAUAAAAAGUCAAAGAUUAAAUAUGCUGUUCAUUGUUUUACUUCAGUUUUGUGUGCACAAAGUGUGCAGGCAAAAAUAAGAACAUCAACAAUUAGUUACAUUUCCAUGUUGAGUUAACUUAAUUAUAUAAGUACACUUGAAAUUUAUACCAAGUUAAGUGAACAUAAUCGUUUAAGUACAUUAAAUAAGCACCAAGUUUGGUGAACUGAGCGAUUUAAGUAUAGUCUACAAAACUGCCAAGUUAAAUAAACUUAAAUAUGUAAGUUUUGGGAGACUCCAUUACUCAAUUAAAUUGAGACAACGAGUUUACUCAAUCAAUUUAGUUCAGUCAACUUAUUAGGGUUUUUAGUGUACAGUUCUGCUCCUCUAAAGAAGCUGGAAGUAUCUAGUCCUCUACAUAUGCAUAGUAUGAAUGCUUAUAAGAUAAAACAAAGAAUUUUAUUUCAUUUUGAGGAAUUAUACCGUAAUUUGAAUUGCAGACUAUACAUUCAUUAUACUGUUAAUGUUUAAAAAUAUGUAUUUGCACAGUUUCGUUUAUAUGUGCUAUAUGUGUUUUUUAAAAAUGUUUUUGUGCUAAUGUGUUGUUGUUGUUUAUUAGGUAAGGACUAUGAGUGUCUGUGGCUUUAAAUGACCUCAUAGAUUCCUGGUACUUGACAAAAUGCAAAUACGUCAAGGUUAUUAAUUUGUGGCCUGGAAUUCCAGUAGUGUAAGAUGCCAUGUACAGUCACCCCUCUGUAAACUACUGUACUGCAUUGUACAAAUUCCUUUGACGAACAUGAUGAUGGUGAUUGAAUUGAAAAAGGCCCUCAAACAAUUGUGGCACAGAUGCAAACAAUUGUGGAUGGCAGACGACAGGAUGUUAGUGUAGACACUGCCAACAUGCUUCCUCAAACAACACAUGCAUGCAGACACACGGACACUGACUGCCAAAAAAUGAGAUGAAGAAAAUUAUUUUAUUAUUUAAGUUGUAUUUUUU
rnacentral:lncRNA from 1 species